rnacentral:rRNA from 1 species
ACGGGUGAGUAACGCGUAAUCAACCUGCCCUUCAGAGGGGGAUAACAACGGGAAACCGUUGCUAAUACCGCGUACGAUUCAUAGGCGGCAUCGCUUGUGAAUGAAAGGUGGCCUCUAUGUAUAAGCUAUCGCUGAAGGAGGGGAUUGCGUCUGAUUAGCUAGUUGGAGGGGUAACGGCCCACCAAGGCAAUGAUCAGUAGCCGGUCUGAGAGGAUGAACGGCCACAUUGGGACUGAGACACGGCCCAAACUCCUACGGGAGGCAGCAGUGGGGAAUCUUCCGCAAUGGACGAAAGUCUGACGGAGCAACGCCGCGUGAGUGAUGAAGGUCUUCGGAUUGUAAAGCUCUGUUAAUCGGGACGAAAGAGUUCUGUGUGAAUAAUGCAGAAAAGUGACGGUACCGGAAUAGAAAGCCACGGCUAACUACGUGCCAGCAGCCGCGGUAAUACGUAGGUGGCAAGCGUUGUCCGGAAUUAUUGGGCGUAAAGCGCGCGCAGGCGGCCUAUCCAGUCUGUCUUAAAAGUUCGGGGCUCAACCCCGUGAUGGGAUGGAAACUAGUAGGCUAGAGUAUCGGAGAGGAAAGCGGAAUUCCUAGUGUAGCGGUGAAAUGCGUAGAUAUUAGGAAGAACACCAGUGGCGAGGGCGGCUUUCUGGACGAAAACUGACGCUGAGGCGCGAAAGCCAGGGGAGCGAACGGGAUUAGAU